rnacentral:rRNA from 1 species
UUUCCGUAGGUGAACCUGCGGAAGGAUCAUUGUCGAAACCCUAACGAGAGGAACGACUUCGAACGUGUCACAAUCAAUAAAGGGGGAGGGAGCGUGGCUCGCGAAGCCUUGCGUUCCCUCACCCCUCGAUCGUCGGGCUAGCGGCUCCGCGAGGCGGCUCCUUCACUUGAUAUAUGGGUCCCGCCGAGCGGCGACGAUAUGUUCGGCAACACAACCAAACCCGGGCGCAAUACGCGCCAAGGAAAAUGGAUGUACAAUCCUUGCCCUCCCUCUAUUCCUUCGGGAAUGGGGGUCGGCGAUGUGUCGUUUUCGACAAAAAGAGAUGACUCUCGGGUGUGAAUUGCAAAAUCCCGUGAACCAUCGAGUCUUUGAACGCAAGUUGCGCCCGAGGCCACUACGGCUGAGGGCACGUCUGUCUGGGCGUCGCGCACAGCGUCACCUAACACCACGCUCCUCCUUGAGAAGCCGGUGGAGUAUGGCCUCCCGUGUCUUGGGCAAAGGCGCGGUUGGCCCAAAUCUGAGGCACGGGGCAAUGAAUGCCGUGACAGUUGGUGGUCAGCGGGCCGAAAGGCCCACGGUUACNACGACUUGUCAUCGCGCCAUUGCCUCUUUUGCUUGUAUCCACAUCGAUCUGCCGCCGUCGUGCGGUAGAGUGAGUCGACCCCAGAUCAGGCGGGGUUACCC